rnacentral:pre_miRNA from 1 species
AACCUACUCGCUCCGUUCGGAAUUACUUGUCAUAGAAAUGGAUGUAUCUAGACAUUUUAGAUACAUCCAUUUCUGCGACAAGUAAUUCGGGACGGAGGGAGUAAUAU